GGCCAAAACCUCUAGCCCAACCACACACUACACCAUAAACACCUCAAACCUACUAACUAUUACCACCACAACCAAAACAUUUCUUCUAACUUAGUAUAGGCGAUAGAAAAGACACUUGGCGCGAUAGAAAUUUCCUCGUACCGUAAGGGAAAGAUGAAAUAACAAUGAAAAACUAAAGCCACAAGCAGCAAAGAUAAACCCUUGUACCUUUUGCAUCAUGGUUUAGCAAGAACAACCAAGCAAAGCGAACUGAAGCUUGCCAUCCCGAAACCUAAGCGAGCUACUCACAAGCAGCUACCCUGAGCAAACCCGUCUCUGUUGCAAAAGAGUGGGAUGACUUGUUAGUAGAGGUGAAAAGCCAACCGAGCUAGGUGAUAGCUGGUUACCUGUAAAACGAAUCUAAGUUCAUUCUUAACCUCCUCCACACAAGAACCACAAACCCAAGCUACCUUGUAGCAGGUCAAGAACAAUUUAAAGGAGGUACAGCUCCUUUAAAAAAGAAUACAAUCUCCCCCAGCGGAUAAAUCAACAACCAUAACUACAUCCUGUAGGCCCUUAAGCAGCCAUCAAUAAAGAGUGCGUCAAAGCUCACCAUAAAAAAAAUCCAAAAAUAACAUGACUCCCUCACCCCUAACAGGUGAACCUAUGACAAUAGGAGAAUAAAUGCUAAAAUAAGUAACUAGGGCAUGCCCUCUUAAGCGCAAGCUUACAUCACCAUUAUUAACAGACCAAACUAAUAACCACAAAUUCAACAAGAGCCAAAUAUUUAACCCCCUGUUAACCCAACCCAGGAGCGCUCAACUAGAAAGAUUAAAACCUGUAAAAGGAACUAGGCAAAUAGCCAAGGCCCGACUGUUUACCAAAAACAUAGCCUUCAGCCCGUCAAGUAUUGAAGGUGAUGCCUGCCCAGUGACACCACGUUCAACGGCCGCGGUAUCCUAACCGUGCGAAGGUAGCGCAAUCAAUUGUCCCAUAAAUCGAGACUUGUAUGAACGGCUAAACGAGGCCUUAACUGUCUCUUACAGGUAAUCAGUGAAAUUGAUCUUCCUGUGCAAAAGCAGGAAUAGACGCACAAGACGAGAAGACCCUGUGGAACUUAAAAAUCAGCGGCCACCGUACAUCCAAAAUACUAAGCCCACUUGGCCUCUACCAUCCUCCCAAGCUACAGCUGGCCCGCAUUUUUCGGUUGGGGCGACCUUGGAGAAAAACGAAACCUCCAAAAAUAAGACCAUACAUCUUAACCAAGAACAACCCCUCAACGUACUAAUAGUAGUCAGACCCAGUAUAACUGAUCAAUGGACCAAGCUACCCCAGGGAUAACAGCGCAAUCUCCUUCAAGAGCCCCUAUCGACAAGGAGGUUUACGACCUCGAUGUUGGAUCAGGACACCCUAAUGGUGCAGCCGCUAUUAAGGGUUCGUUUGUUCAACGAUUAACAGUCCUACGUGAUCUGAGUUCAGACCGGAGUAAUCCAGGUCGGUUUCUAUCUGUGGUGGACUUUUCCCAGUACGAAAGGACCGGAAAAGUGAGGCCAAUACCAUAGGCACGCCUUACCCCCUAAGUAAUGAAUCCAACUAAAUUACCAAAAGUACCACUAACACACCAGUCCUAAAUAAGGCC
rnacentral:rRNA from 1 species